rnacentral:rRNA from 1 species
UAAAAGACCUAGCAAUAGGUAUGCUUAGGGAGGAGCUUGCGUCACAUUAGUUAGUUGGUGGGGUAAAGGCCUACCAAGACUAUGAUGUGUAGCCGGGCUGAGAGGUUGAACGGCCACAUUGGGACUGAGACACGGCCCAAACUCCUACGGGAGGCAGCAGUAGGGAAUUUUCGGCAAUGGAGGAAACUCUGACCGAGCAACGCCGCGUGAACGAUGAAGUAUUUCGGUACGUAAAGUUCUUUUAUUAGGGAAGAAUAAAUGAUGGAAAAAUCAUUCUGACGGUACCUAAUGAAUAAGCCCCGGCUAACUAUGUGCCAGCAGCCGCGGUAAUACAUAGGGGGCAAGCGUUAUCCGGAAUUAUUGGGCGUAAAGGGUGCGUAGGCGGUUAAAUAAGUUUAUGGUCUAAGUGCAAUGCUCAACAUUGCGAUGCUAUAAAAACUGUUUAGCUAGAGUAAGAUAGAGGCAAGUGGAAUUCCAUGUGUAGUGGUAAAAUGCGUAAAUAUAUGGAGGAACACCAGUAGCGAAGGCGGCUUGCUGGGUCUUUACUGACGCUGAGGCACGAAAGCGUGGGGAGCAAACAGGAUUAGAUACCCUGGUAGUCCACGCCGUAAACGAUGAGUACUAAACGUUGGGUAAAACCAGUGUUGAAGUUAACACAUUAAGUACUCCGCCUGAGUAGUACGUACGCAAGUAUGAAACUUAAAGGAAUUGACGGGACUCCGCACAAGCGGUGGAUCAUGUUGCUUAAUUCGAAGGUACCCGAAAAACCUCACCAGGUCUUGACAUGCUUCUGCAAAGCUGUAGAAACACAGUGGAGGUUAUCAGUUGCACAGGUGGUGCAUGGUUGUCGUCAGCUCGUGUCGUGAGAUGUUGGGUUAAGUCCCGCAACGAGCGCAACCCUUAUUGUUAGUUACCAGCACGUAAUGGUGGGGACUUUAGCAAGACUGCCAGUGAUAAAUUGGAGGAAGGUGGGGACGACGUCAAAUCAUCAUGCCCCUUAUGACCUGGGCUACAAACGUGAUACAAUGGCUGUUACAAAGGGUAGCUGAAGCGCAAGUUUUUGGCGAAUCUCAAAAAAACAGUCUCAGUUCGGAUUG